rnacentral:lncRNA from 1 species
AAACAACAAAAUAAAUGAAGACUAAAAGUAGUUUUUAUGCAAAAUUCAACACAAAUGUAAUAAAUUACACCUUUUACCUGUUAUUACCUGAAAAUGCAGGGUACCUGAUAAAAAUUUCACUUAAAUAAUUGCCUAACAUUACAGUUCAUGCUCUACUGAGCAUUUUUCAUGCAAUAACUUUCUCUGUAUCUCAUAUAAUAAAGAAGAUACAGCAGUCGGAAAAGGAAAAUACUGUUCUAAUGAAUGAACACAAAAAAAAGCAGCAGCAGCAGCAAUUUUCAGCUCACCUGGCCUAAAAGACCAAGUGAGCUUUUCUCAUCACUUGGCGUCUGUAGCCCGUUCCAUCGUUGUCUGUCAUCCGUCAGUUGUUAACUUUUACAAAAAUCUUCUCCUCUGAAACUACUGGGCCAAGUGCCACAAUCAUCAUUGAGGAGUUUAGUUUAAAAAAUGUGUGGUGACCCGGCCAACCAACCAAGAUGGCUGCCAUGGCUAAAAAUAGAACAUAGGGGUAAAAUGUAGAUUUUGGCUUAUAACUCUGAAACCGAAACAAAGAGCAAAUCUGCCAUGGGGUUAAAUUGUUAAUCAAUUAAAGAUCUAUCUAUCCUGAAAUUUUCAGAUGAAUCAGAAAAACGGUUGUUGGGUCGCUGCCCCUGAAUUGGUAAUUUUUAAGGAAAUUAUGCUGUUUUUGGUUAGUAUCUUGAAUAUUAUUAUAGAUAGAGAUAAACUGUAAACAGCAAUACUGUCAGCAAAGUAAGAUUUUCAAAUAAGUCAACAUGUCCAAUAUGGUCAGUUGACCCUUUAAGGAGUUAUUGCCCUUUAC